UCUACGGGAGGCAGCAGUGGGGAAUAUUGGACAAUGGAGGGAACCCUGAUCCAGCGACGCCGCGUGAGUGACGAAGUAUUUCGGUAUGUAAAGCUCUAUCAGCAGGGAAGAAAAUCACGGUACCUGCCUAAGAAUCCCCGGCUAACUACGUCCCAGCAGCCGCGGUCAUACGUAGGGGGCAGGCGGUGUCCGGAUUUACUGGGUGUAAAGGGAGCGUAGACGGUGCAGCAAGUCUGAUGUGAAAGGUCGGGGCCCAACCCCGGGACUGCAUUGGAAACUGUUGAACUGGAGUACAGGAGAGGUAAGCGGAAUUCCUAGUGUAGCGGUGAAAUGCGUAGAUAUUAGGAGGAACACCGGUGGCGAAGGCGGCUUACUGGACCGUAACUGACGUUGAGGCUCGAAAGCGUGGGGAGCAAACAGGAUUAGAUACCCGAGUAGUC
rnacentral:rRNA from 1 species